AAAGAUGUAGAAGGAAAUGUUUGCUUUUCUCCCUCCACCCCACAUACUGUCAUGAUGAAGAGAUGUAGCAGACUUUUACUUCUAAAUAAGCUCAGAUUAACUUAAGUAAAAGAGGAUAUCCGUGGAAAGACUCUGCAAUUGCUCAAAGAAUAAAGAUACAGAAUUAUGAUGUUCUAGCUGCUAGCACAUGUGUACUCAGAUAUGUUCUCCACCCCUUUCCUGGACCUGUACAAGCUGUUAGCACUUGCUCAGCAAGAUGCCAGCGGAGCUGGUCCACGCUUCAGUUCACUCCAGCAGUGGCUGCAGGAGGCAACGGACUUGUGAAACUCUGCCCUGCAACAGCCACACCAGAGUACCCUUCUUCUGCUGCAGUUUGGCUGGGAACAGAAGAACCGGCCAGCGACAAGAAAAAAAGUGACAUCCUUCUAAAUGCUGUGGAAACACUCCUAUCUAGGACUCCUUGACUUCAUCAAAAAGUUCCUUAAUCUUGUGGCCUCUGAACAGUUGUUUCUUUAUGUAAAUCAACCCUUUGCACCUUCCCCAGACCAGGAAGUUGGAACCCUCUCUGAGUGCUUUGGCAGUGCCUAAACGGGUUUUGUACUACCACAAAUCUCAGGCAUGGUGGUUAACCACAGAGAAAAACAACUUGCUAUUCAAAAUGAUUUUUCACAAAAGAAAUGACUCUAAAAAGUUUUGCCGCCAGUGGCAAGAGCCUUAAUGAAUAUGAGCUGCUCAGUAUGUGUCUCCUCUGACUCAUGUAUAUGCCUAAGAAAAUGUCCAUAGAGUGAAUGUAUUCACAAAAAAAUGUGAUAAAUGUUAAUACACAAAUCAUCAUAAAAA